rnacentral:lncRNA from 1 species
UCAGGGUUCCCUCGCUGGUGCUAGGAAGUGCUUCAAGGUAAAGGGGACCCGGGGAGAAGCCCUCAGUGGGUGAUGUUUCAUUCCCAGAUGCAACAAGAACCUCUUACUCUGUGCAAACAACAGAUCAUAAUUAAGGCUCAGAAACAAGCCCUUCAGAACUUCACGACUGAACACUCAUGUGUGUCCCUGCCACUUCUGCCCCCCCUCCCUCACACGCAUGCAUAACAAGCGUAAAUUUUCAACCUACACGAACAAACUUUUUCCUGGUAGAAGUGACUGACUUCUUUCCAACAGUGAAAAUCCACUUCACAGGAGCAGCACCAAGGUCCAAGGCAGGAAGCCUCAUGGCUCACCAGGGGACCAUAGCCAUAAUGCUCCUCUGCAUGGCCUGGGAUUUACAUUGGAAAUGGAAUCGUCUCCUUGAGGGCUUUCACUCCAUGUCAGUUUUGCACAAUCACAGCCCUGGCACAUCAGCACCAGCGGAAUAGGUUGAGCCAACGGAGUUCUGGUCACCCGACUAUUCAAAAGUGCUUGUUCUCU